rnacentral:rRNA from 1 species
AACGAACGCUGGCGGCAGGCUUAACACAUGCAAGUCGAGCGAGGACUUCGGUCCUAGCGGCGGACGGGUGAGUAACGCGUGGGAACGUGCCCUUCUCUCUGGAAUAGCCCUGGGAAACUG